GACCCGUCUUGAAACACGGACCAAGGAGUCUAGCAUGUGCGCGAGUCAUUGGGAUAUAUAGAAUACCUAGACGCGCAAUGAAAGUGAAGGCCGGCCCUAGCGCCGGUCGAGGGAGGAUGCGGACGGCCUCGGCCGCCCGCCGCACUCCCGGGGCGUCUCGCCCUCAUCGCGAGGAGAGGCGCACCCAGAGCGUACACGCUGGGACCCGAAAGAUGGUGAACUAUGCCUGGUCAGGACGAAGUCAGGGGAAACCCUGAUGGAGGUCCGUAGCGAUUCUGACGUGCAAAUCGAUCGUCGGAACUGGGUAUAGGGGCGAAAGACUAAUCGAACCAUCUAGUAGCUGGUUCCCUCCGAAGUUUCCCUCAGGAUAGCUGGCGCUCGCUUUUGCGAGUCUCAUCCGGUAAAGCGAAUGAUUAGAGGCAUUGGGGUCGAAACGGCCUCAACCUAUUCUCAAACUUUAAAUGGGUGAGAUCUCCGGCUUGCUUGAACCAAUCAAUGAAGCCGCGAGAUUUCGGAUCAGAGUGCCAAGUGGGCCAUUUUUGGUAAGCAGAACUGGCGCUGUGGGAUGAACCAAACGCAGAGUUAAAGCGCCUAAAUCGACGCUCAUGGGAUACCAUGAAAGGCGUUGGUAACUUAAGACAGCAGGACGGUGGCCAUGGAAGUCGGAAUCCGCUAAGGAGUGUGUAA
rnacentral:rRNA from 1 species